rnacentral:rRNA from 1 species
CACGUAGGGGGCGAGCGUUGUCCGGAUUUAUUGGGCGUAAAGAGCUCGUAGGCGGCUCAGUAAGUCAGGUGUGAAAACUCCAGGCUUAACCUGGAGACGCCACUUGAUACUGCUGUGGCUAGAGUCCGGUAGGGGAGCAUGGAAUUCCUGGUGUAGCGGUGAAAUGCGCAGAUAUCAGGAAGAACACCUAUGGCGAAGGCAGCUCUCUGGGACGGUACUGACGCUGAGACGCGAAAGCGUGGGGAGCGAACAGG